UUUGCAUGCGAGGAGGAGCCGUGCGACGGCAGUGGCGAGCGGGGCUGCGCGGCUUUGAAGAGCGUUGAUACCGCAAAGGAAUGCAGCGUGCAGAGCGUGCUUUAGGCUUUGCGAGCAGCUGAUGUAAUUUGCUGGCAAAUUGAAUUUGGGGGCGCAGAGAAAAUCAAAUCAGGGACAGAAAAGUGAUAAGAAUGCUGAGCAAGGGCUUGUCUUAGGAGUCACAGACGAAGACUGAUUUUGCAGCUGUAGGAGUGGCAGAGCGCUCCCAGCUGCCGGGAAACCAAAAUCAAGAGAUGAGGAGGUACUGGAAGGCACAAAUACCCAGCGGUUGCCCUUAUUUUCUUUCCUGGAGACCAGGAGUCCACGCUGGGGAAAUGAGCACACUGUCGUGGUCCUUUCAUGUGGCUCAAACCUUGCUGUACAUUACCCCAAGGCUGGCCCCCAGGCUGGGUGUGGAAGGUGCCUCUGGUGAACAGGUGUGAUGGCAUUGCCUGCUGACCAUCCCCAGAGCAGCCCUAUGGACCAUGAGGCAAGGCACAGCAGGUUCAGGUUCACAGUGCCAUGUUAUGUUUGGCAUUCCCUCUUGUGAAAUGUCUGUUACUGGGAAAGGGACAGCGUUGGCUGGGGCUGCUGGUUAGCAAUGGACCACACAGCUAGAUACGUUCCUGUGACACUGCUGUUUGCAGCUAUGACAUGUGCAGGAGUACUGUGAAUGCUUUAUAAAAAGUAGUGAAGAGAAAUGGAAGUGGAAAUUAGGAGAUGAGAAGUUUAUGGAAGUGACUUGUGACAGCUGCAUGCAAAGGUGAAAGAUACUCAACACCUUAGAUGGGAAAAGAGCUCAGAUCUGCUUGAUGUGAACUUCCAUGUGGAUAUUUUGAUGUUAAAACAUAGACUCUGUAUAAAGUCAGUACAGAAUCAAGUUUUUAACAGGAAAGCUGCUUAGCUUCUAUGAGGCUCUUUUUGAAAUGUUCAGAAUGACGGAACUGAUAAGAAAUGAACACUUCAGGAAUUGAUCAUAUUCUGGAACGUUUUUCAAGUGAAGUAUGUUGUUAGAAAUGAUCAUCUUUGAAAAUGCCUUAAGAAAACUUAUUUUUUGCAUAUUUCUGACAUAAUUCUGUAUUCAUUCUAUAUUCCAGAGAAUGCAGUAUCAUCUUGGUUGAUCACUAUAUGGUAAAAGGCUGUAGUUUAGCUCAAACUAAACUUUUUGGAGGCAGGCUGUUAACUUUCCUGCAUGGGAUUUUUCCUUAGGAUGCUACCUCCCUUAGAGGCCAGAAAUGGGAGCUCUCCUUUCAUUUACAUCCUCCUCCUUCCAUAAACUGAGGAGAAGGGGAAUAGAGUAUAGCCCUGGUUUGUGCCCUGGAAGGUCUUUGCCCAGCCACAGCUGUCACCAGCCAGGUGCCAUGUGUCUGUGAUGCCUUACCUGGAAAUAGUGGCAGUGUGAUAAUAUGAAAUAUGAUGCUUUCAUCGUAUUUCUGCCUGUUUCCUUGCCUACUCAGUCCAUGAACUUUCCAAAUAGCUGACUACAGCCCUUCAUCUUACAGGGGGAAAAGUCUUAUAUCUCCCUAAUAAAAUGAGACAUCUAAAGGGAGCUGGGAAUCCCCUUGGGAGCAAAUGGAACUCAUCAUAGCAAACUGCUGUUAAAUUUGGCUUUAAAAUUUUGUAGUUCAGCUGACAAAUCUACAGAUGUCAAUACCAGCAGCACUGAUACAAGAAGCACUGGGAAUCUUUGAGAAGACAUCUAACAGUAGCAACAGAAACAGAUUAGGAGUCUGGUGCAUUUUGUCCUCCUCAUACAUCGGCACGCACUCUCAGUAGUGAGCUGCUCAGGCAACAAAUUGCUGGCAGGUGUGCAACGACAAGCCUGUCUAGAUAGGCUUAAAUCAUCCCUGGUGGUUGCACCUGUGUGUUUAUGGUCAGUACAAGUAUAAAUUUGAUAGAAUUUAGCUAGGAUACCCACUAGUUGAAAAUAUCUUUAAAAACAAGCAAGCCAACAGGCUCAACUGGAGUUGUUUGCCCCUGGCCUGCUAACUUUAUGUAAGAGGUGUGGGCAGACAGGUGUAACAGGCUAUGGGGAAACAUCAAGUGUGUACCAGAAGGAAUCUGCGAAUUCAUUAUUUUUCCUUCGUUUUUAUGUUUUGUUUAAACUGCCAUAUGUAACAGCUUUGGUGAUUUCCAUGUUUUAAGAAUGAGCAAUGGAUGUUCUAAACCCUGCUGUAGAAAAGGUGUUGGAGUCUCAAAAAUUGCUAUGUGCAUUUUGUGUCAUCGCCCAGCGCUGGUAAACACAUAAAGAGCAAAGGAGUAUCUGCAGCUGCUACAAGUUGAGACUUACUGAAGUCAAUCCCUUCUUCAAGAAUCUGUAUCCAUUUCUCUACUUGGCAUGAAUACGAAUUGAUAUGAAUUCAACGGACAACUGUUCUUCUUUGGAGUUAAUUCUAUCUUCGUUUGUGAAUUUAUGCAUCGAAUAAAUAAAACAUGAACAGCAGCAAUGUGAUCAUUCACCAGAGAUGUAUCCAUCCUGAAUCAGAGUAAACUGUGACAGGUAAAAUCCAGCCUUUCAUUUCUGUUGGAAUGCAGCUGGCCAACCUCCCUUACCCUCUGAGCCACCUUACCAGGGUAAAGGGGCUAUGAACUUUGCAGAGGUUUACAAGUGGCACCUGACAUCCCAUCAGUCUGCUUCAAGCGCAAUGCUUUUAUUUUGAGACUACUGGAGAUGAAAUCUGGGAAUCUUCUGUGUGCCAAAGUCUUCCUGUAGAAUAUGGAGCUCCAUCAAAAUUGAGCUGGUGUGAAACUGCCCUGAGCAUAGGAAGACCAUGAAGUAGCAGCAAAGGCAGGAAGGGCCCCAGGACAGCGCGCUGAACCAAAUAAAAGCUCCUCCUUCGAAACAGCCUACAAGUGCCUGCAGUACAAGUGCCUGCUGUACCACCACUCUCAUCUCUGAAACCAGUUUCUCCAUCACCCGACAACUGAUGCAGAAGUUGCUGUAGUCAGGCAACACAAUGCCACAGCAGCACCCUGGGAACAGAGGAGCAGUUAUUUUCACCACAGCUUUCCAAUUUGGUUUAGCUCUGUCAGGCAAGGAAAGCACGUGCCACUUUCCAGCAAGAACUCAUUCAGCUUGAGCAUCUCCGUAUGAAACAACUAAUGGAACAGAAAGGCAAUGAGAAGAAAUCCACCAAGGACUACUGGGAAGUGAAGCUGCAGUCCUGCAAAGCGUGCUUAUUAAUGCCACAGGAGAGGGACAGCAAUUCAAAAUCUGUUUUUCAGGACCGUCAGCUGAACUAACGUGAACAGAGAUGCACGUGUGGUAAAGCAUCCUUCCUGCCACUCCAUCAGACUGCGAAUCAUUUAAGAUUUAUCACUGCUGAUGAGAGAUACCUGACCUCACAUAACUCUGCACAGAACUUUGUUGUAACAGUUGCAGUUAAAUAAAGUGUUACUUCUCUUAAGUCUUAAAUAAAAGAACAGUGGAAAACACUGGGAAGAAAUAAGCCUUACCCCUCAUACUGACCUGUUCGAGCGUCUUGCCAGCCCACCCAAUGGCCUUCAUCUUCCUUCUUAUCUCCCAUUGCUUCUGAUAGGACAGAAUGCGGUUAAGAGGCCAGGGGUAAGGAGAGCCAUACCUCGGGUGAGUAAUCUUUGUUAAGAAACAGAAAGUUACUUUGUUACAAUCUAAAAAUGCAGGCAGCUCUAUUUACAAAACAGCUAAGAGAGCAAUAAAGAAAAAGAAUGUUGUGUGAUACGUUGCAAUUAUUUGUGCAGAAUUUAUUGUUUUCAGUAUAACCAUUUGAAAUUAUUACCUUGGAAAGAUAUGCAAAACUCAUAUUUGUUCUGCAGUCACAUACCUCCAGUAAAGUUACAACUUCCCUGAAAUGUAUACGCAAGCAGAAUUCAAGUGAGAAGACUGUAUCAUUAACGGAGCUCAAUGUUUCAUUUAUGAGUAGGGACUUCCAUUUGUGAGCAAAAGUGUUUUCUCAUUAAAUUUUAAUUAAGAUAAAUGUUGCAGAACCACUCACCUCCUCUACUGUAACAUCAUCACACCACUGCAGAUAGAGCUAGGAACAGAAAGAGCACUUACUACAACUUCCUAAUAAACGAGAAUACAGAUACAAUCAUUUCUCACUAGUAGAAUUUUCCUUUCUGUAUUAGAUUAAAUUUCCAUUUGGUGCCUUCUAUUAGACUUCUGAACACAGUGAAGAAAUUAAAACCAGAGUCACAAGCCCAGCUCCAAGUUGCUGGCUCGCAAGCAGCGGAACCAAGCUGGAGCCAAAGGCCUGCUGCAGUUGCCUGUGCCACACACAGCUCAACACCCAGCCAUGUGCCUGCGAGCAUUUCCAGCACUGGCCCCACGGCCCCACAUCACAUUAACAGGCCAUGGGCACGACCCGCGGGGCAGGCCAGCCUCCAGCAAGGCACAGCAGCUGUGUGGAAGGCGGCAGUGGGGCUGCACAGCCAGCAAGGACUGCUGGCGUUUUCCAUCCGUGCAAAUCAGGCACUUCUACAGCUACAGGGCGUGCUUCAGACAGGUAAAUGGAGCUGUACACAUGGCUUGUGUCUGCAGGAAUAUGUCAUCAAGUAGUCCACAGGAUCCACAGAAUUUAUUCCUGUCUCAUUUCACCAUAAAAACUGAUGACCUGAUCAAAGAUUUUAAUCUAAGAACAAACAGUAUUUCCAGAACAAGAAAAUAUCAUGAAGCAUUCUUGCCUAUAAUCCCUUAUGGAAGUAUGAGCAGUAACUAUGGUUUGCUGUACCUCCGCUGUCAGGAGCAUAUUAUUGACUAAUUCCAUGUAGGCUUUCAUCUCAGCUUUUUGGACUUCAUCCAACCCAUCGCUGAGAGAAUGGCCCUAAUGGGGAAAGAAAGAGACACGUAAGAGAGGAUAUUGGAAUAUUCAGCAGUGCCUGACCCAAAGACCUCAGAAGUCAAUGAGCUUUGGUUCAGAUACUGAUCUGUCACACAACACGUCACAAGUUACACACGUACUCUCUACAUAAAGUGCCCUUUAGAAUGAAAAAGAAAUAAUCGUAAUGUAACAGAACUGAUCUGCAAUAAAUGUAGUUAUUACCAGUCAGAGGUGAGCACACAGCCUGUGUCAAGAAGUAAACACAGAUUUACAUCUGUGCUACAGCUUUAUGAAGUGCUCAGUGAGAAGACAAUGUUGUUGAAAAUACAACUUCAAAAUUUACACCAGUGAUUUCUGGGUUUAAAAAUUCAGAGACAGAGACGUAGAAAACCAGCUGCAGAAACUGGCAGUGGCACGCACGUGUCCUGCACAGAAUUUGCUUCCUGAAUUUGAGGUAAUGUUAAAUUGAAACAUUUCCACCUCGGCACUCUCACUUCAGAGCGUCUUUCUUUUGAACCAGCACCAGAUUGCUGCACCGUUGUAACAAUGAAGUAACAUUCCAGCAGAGCACAGCAACUGCACAGCAGUGCUAAAGAAGACUGGUAAGGAACCCAGUAAUAGAUGCAGACUGUGUGUAAUUACCUUGGCUUUCACAAACUGGACUAUGGGCCCGAGUUCAGAUACUACUUGGUUUCCCACAUGAAUAAAGGGCACUUUGCCUGUAAAAUGAGAAAUGUAUUUUAUUAGGAGCUUUUUAUACAUGUCAACUAUAAUUUCCUAUUUUCAGUGCAAUUAAAUAUCACAAG